rnacentral:lncRNA from 1 species
AGGGUGUCCAUCCCAGAAAAUCCGGCAGCCGCCACGCAUGGCAGGCUGGUGGUCAGAACACCCGGGAAGACUGGGAGUGAGAAAUAUCUGAAGCAUUCUCUUCCUCGCCUCUUGGCACUGUGGAAGCAAGAGGGGAAAAAAAAAAAAACUCAGGGGAACCUGUUGGACAGGACCAGCAAGGCUGCCUCUGGUGCUUGACACCUCCCCUGCUAGAGGAGGUUCCUUGGCUUCUCCUUCCCAGCAGAGAGGAGGGCUAGGACCGGAGAGAUCAGAGCAACCGGGUGCCUACUUGCCAGACCUCCAGGGAAGUGCUGGAGAGCUUUGGAGCUCUGGAUAGGGGUGGCGCAUCCAUCUUCCUGGGAAGAAGAGGAAGUUGCACAGACACCGAUGGCUACAGAGGUGCACAGUAGAGGGACAAGAUAUCAGAUGUUUGUUGCAGGAGGGGGGAAAACCCAUCACACUUUGUUCUUUAUGCCAGCUUUUUUUUUCCUGUCGCUUAUUUUAUUAUAAGGAAACAAGGGUUCUAAUGGGAGAUAAAAGGACAGAGGUGACAAGAUGGCAAGGAAUCUGAACUGGGGAGCUGAAGUGUUGAGAUGAAUGCGGACGAUUGAGAGGUGUCCAUCCGUAGGUGUGAUUUUGGGGAGAGAUGGAGGAGCUUCCUUCAAAACCUUGGAGGAAGAGAAAGUGGUGCUCUCCAUCUACCUAGGACAUCUACACACUAAUGACCUAAUUCAGCACAGAGCAAAGGUCAGUGUCCCCUGGGCACUGCACCUGGUGAUUUCUGCAUUCAGCACUCUUCCUUGGUGCCUUCAUCUGUCUGGCGAGUCAUUAAGCCUCUGGCAAAGAGCAGACUGCAAGGACCGGCCUGGUGAGCACAGUUCUCUUAAGUGGGAUCUGAAAGGGACACUCUCACACACGCUUUCCUCAGGAAGGAGUCCAGAUUCCUUUGUAUUCAUGCAGUGGUUUGCAAAAAAAAAAAAAAAAAUCUGAAUUGAAUCUUGACUUGAUUUCCACUAAUGUAUAUAUAAACUCUGUGUAACUCGAUCUCCUAAGACGUGAGGUACAUAUUUAUCUUUUUCAGUGUUAAGAAGCAAGCUAAAUGAUUCUUUCUUCCUUACUGUUCCUUUCCCCCUCAAAGCUGCUGUAUCUAUUUCAUCUUAUGAUCAAAAAGAGGUUGCAUCCCAUUUGAUAUUAUACAAAGGGGAAAUGGGAAUAAUGAUUUAAAAGUAAAGAAAAGCAGGAUUUCUUGCUUAGAAAAUAAGACGGAUGAACCCUUAAGAAUGGGAAAACACCAGCCACUAUGGCAGAGAGAAGAUAUUUUGCCAAAUUUAGAACCCACUUGAAAAUCACGGGUUCUAAGUUUAGAACUGAACUAAAAAACUUGAGUCGCAUUGCAUUUGGCAUUGGUUUAAAAAAAAAAAAAACUAAGCUACUAAUUAAAGGGAAAAAAUUAUACUCUUAGUAGUUCUAGAAGCUGUGAAUUAUUUUCAAACAAAUUCUUUAUUGGCUCAAUGGAGGGGCCUGCACUUAGUCAGAAAAGAAACAUUUUUUUCUAAUUAAAUUUUCCUUACAAAACAAUGAUUUAAAAUCAAGGGGGAAAAAAACCCCACAUUUUGCCAAAACCUUUAAAGGAUUGUUGCAUAACCUUCUUUGGACCCAACCAAAUACACCAGGUGGUUGGUACAAAUUUAUGUUUAUAUAACAAGUGGUAUCCAGGAUGGACACCAUUGAUUAUCUCCUACUGGUAAAUUUCAGAUAAUAAUAAUAAUAAAAAAGAUAAAAAUGAGAAAACUAUCACUCUAAACAACUCUAACUCUUGCCAGUGUGAUUAUUAUUUUCUAAUUUGGAUGCUAAGAUAGUUACUGCAAUAUCACUAAGAAAUGGACUCGAAUUGCUACUAUGUGAAAACUACAAAAAUUUUUAGACCCCAAAGAUCCAAAAGUACUAAAUCAAGAACCAAUAAGAGGGCUAGGGAUAUAGCUCAGUUGGUAGAGUGCUUGCCUCUCACGUACAAAGCCCUGGGUUCAAUUCCCAGCACCACAAAACAAAAUAAAGAAAUAAGAACCAGUAAUGGAUAGACAGUGCUUGAAAUAUACCUGUUAGCUUAAUGUGUCUCAGCCAUCAACUUUUGUAGUUAUAGAAAACAUAAUGACAUCAUAUGCAAACCUAAGAUACUACACACAUAUAUGUACAUACAGGUAUACACAUGAUAUGAUCUUAGCUUAAGAAGAGGACCUGGGUUAAAAUAAUUAGAUAAAGGGCUAAAUAUGAACAUUCAGCACAAGUAUUCACUAUAGCAAGUAUUCAGAAAUACAAAUGUUGGGAAAAAUUAUUUCUUCUUUCUAUUUACUGCCUUGGAGUCUAAAUACAUUUAAAAAAUUUGUUUGGUACUAGGGGUUGAACACAGGAGCAUUCAACUACUGAGCCACAUGCCCAGCCCUUUUUAUAUUUUUAUUUUGAGUCAGUGUCUCCUUAAAUUGCUUCAGGCCUCACUAAAUUGCUGAGGCUGGCCUGGAACUUUUGAUUCUUCUGCCUUAGCCUCCUGAGUUGCUGGAUUACAGGUGUGCACCACCAUGCCUGGCCUAAAUACAUUUUUUGAGUGACUUGAGGAUGCAGGCUUACCACAUGGUGGAUUUGACAUCCUUUCUCCAGAAAUAUCAUUAAUUCAUCAGUUCAAAACCCUGUAACUUCAAUUUACAGGCACUUUGAAAAACUUUAUUGAAGGAUAUAAAUUCCAGGGGUAGAUAUUUCAGGUUGAUAUCUUUUUUUUUUUUUUUUUUUGUACUGAGGAUUGAACCCAGGGACACUCUACCCCUGAGUUACAUCCCCUGCCUUUUAAUUUUUAUUUUCAGAGAGGAUCUUGCUCAGUUGCUAAGUCUGGCCUCAGACUUGCUAUCCUCCUGCCUCAGCCUCCCAAGAGUAGCUGGGAUUAUAUACAUGCACCACCACACCUAGCUAGGUAUGCAUUCUUAAGCAAUUGUUAUUAUGUAUGCUAAUAGCAUGCAUACCUUUCAUUAAGAUAAAGAACAGGAGGAGCUGAGGGUAUAACUCAGUGGUACUGUGCUUCUUUAGCAUGCAAGAAGCCUUGAGUUUGAUUCCUAACACAUGCAAGUGUGUGCUCAUUUGUGUGUGCGCAUGCACAUGCACACAACACACAUACACACAAAGAUAAAGAACAGAGAUUAACAUUCUCCAAAAAUGUGCCUCAAUCAGAAAACCAGAAUACCUGGGCUCACAGAUUCCCUGGGCCUCUGAAUACAUGUUCUUCAAUAUACUCUGCUAUAUUAAAAUAGAAUUUCUUGGUAUUGGGGCUAUAGCUUAGUGGCAGAGCACUUGCCUAGCAUGACAGAGGCACUGGGUUCAAUCCUCAGCACCACAUUAAAAAAAAAAAAAAAUUAACAAAUAAAAUAAAGGCAUCUGUCCAUCUAAAACUAAACAAAUUUUUUUUUAAAUAGAAUUUCUUAGUCUCUUCUAACUCAGGUCUUCAAAAUUGCUCUCAUAUUUAUUUUUAAAUUCUUACCAAUAAAAACUUAAUCUUUUGGACAAUUUUCCUCCUUUCAGGCCAUUAUUCCUAGAUAAAUGGAGGGAAAUAAAGAAAGAACUUUAUGGGAACAAGGAGAUUUCUGGAACUGUUAUGAGGUAGGAAGGCCACUAUUCUUAGGUGAUAGUUGUGUCAACCCAAGGAUGCUUUACCACUAAACCACAUUCUCAUCUCUUUUUAUUUUUAUUUUUUUAUUUUUGAGACAGGGUCUUGCUAAGUUGCUUAGAGCCUUGCUAAAUUGCUGAGGCUGUCUUUGAACUUGUGAUCCUCCCGCCUCAGCCCAGGGAGGCACAGGGAUCAUAGACAUGUGCCACUGCACCGGGCCGCGGUGUCAAUCUCUGAAGAGUGUUAACUUCUCUUGGAUUCUAGAGGAAAGUAAGGCCCGCAUAUGUGCUAAUGCCCAGGAAAGCAGGACCAGCAGUCCUGGUGCCCUCGAAGGUGGCUUUUGUGACAUGAAUAAGGAACAAGAAGGGUAGGUGGUUUGCUGACAUCUGGGUUUCUGAUAAGGAAUUUGCAGGGAAGAUCCCCACAUCUCCAGGCUCUCUUUCAAGCAUUUCCAACUCUUUGACAUGUAAAAUUUCCCACGGAUAAUACUGAAUAAAUAAGUUUAGGACUGGGUUGUGGCUCAGUGGCAGAGUGCUCUCCUAGCAUGCAUGAGGCACUGGGUUGGAUCCUCAGUACCACAUAAAUGUAAAAAAUAAAGAUAUUGUGUCCACCUAAAAACUAAAAAAUAUAUAUUAAAAAAAUAAGCUUAGAGUUGCAAAGAAUUAGGUCCUCUAAAUACUUUUUGCCCUAUGCAUUUCACCAAGUCUGAACUCAAGUUUUCAUAGCUUUAUAAUUAUAGGUCUUUAACCUGAUAAGAGAUUUUUUUCUCUCUUCCUUCCCUUCCCUUUCUCUUCCUCCCUCCUUCUCUCUCCCCCUCCCUCCAUCCCUCCCUCCUUCUCCUUCCUUCCUUCCUUCUUUUUUCCUUUCUUUCUUCAUCCUGGGGAUUAAAUUCAUGGAUACUCUAUCACUGAGCCACAUCCCAGCACUUUUAAAUUUUUAUUUUUUAUUUUGAGACAAGAUCUUGCUAAAUUGUUGUUGAGGCUGGCCUCAAACUUGUAAUCCUCCUGCCUCAACAGGCUGGGAUUAUGGGCCUGUGCCUCUGUCCACAACGGCACAUGCAAAUUUCAUGGUGGUGGAUAGACUUGGCUGAAGGUAGGUGCUUUUCUUUCUGGACUUGGCAAAGGUUCCUGCUGAAAUUUAGCAAAAAAAAAAAAAAAAAGUAGCUUUAAAUUCCUAUUUCAAACAUUCCACUACAUACUUCCACCUGGAACAGAAAAGAGACUCCAGAAAUAGUCCCACACUGAUGGUCAAAUGAUUUUCAACAAAGGUUGUAAGACAAUUCAACAGGGGAAAAAGUAUUUUCAACAAAUUGUGCUAAAACUGGGUAGUCAUAUGGAAAAAGAAAUGCAUUGAUCCUUCCUUCCCACUGGAUAUGAGAAUUAUCAGGAUGAAUGACAGACCUAAAUAUAAAACCUAAGACUAAAAAACUCCUAAACAGAGGAGAAACCCUAGGACAAAAAAACAAACUUUUAUAAAUGAGAAAAUUAUUAAACUACUUAUCUAAAAUUUAAAAUUUGCACUUAGACAGUAUUUAAAAAAAUGAUAAGAUAACACAGGAUAGAAAAAUAUUUACAAUACAUAAGUCUGAUAAAUGGCUGCUAUUUGCAAUAUAUAAAGGACUAAUACAACCUAGUACAUAGACAAAUAUUUUAUUUUACUCACUUUUUUGGUACUGAGGAUUGAACCCAGGGGUAACUUUACCACUGAACUACAUUCCCAGCCCUCUUUAUUAUGAGACAGGGUCUCCUAAAUUGCUGAGGCUGGCCUUGAACUUGAGAUCCUCCUCCUUCAGCCUCCAGAGUCUCUAGAAUUACAGAUAUGUGUCACCAUAACUUGACAAAAAAAAAUGCAAUUUUUAAAAUGGGCAAAAAAUUUGAACAGACACUUUUCAAAAGAAGUUAUAAGGAUGGAUGAUAAGCAGAUAAGCUCGGAUAUCAUGACAUCAGGCGAACACAAAUUAAAACCCCAAUCAGAUACCACUACACGUCAGUUAGCAUGGCUACAGUAGAAACCUUCAUACUGCCAAGUGUCGAUGAAGAUGUGGAACCAUCUUUAUGGUACACCACUUUGGAGGAGUGACAGUUAUUUUAGAAGUUAAACAUAUACUUAUCACUCAAUUUAAUCAUUCCAUCACUAGGUACACAUCCAAGACAAAUGUUAGAUGUCCAUACAGAGGCCUGGGCAAGAAUGUUAGCUUUAUCUGCAACACUCAAAACUGAAACAAAGCCAGGCACAGUGGCCCACACCUGUAAUUCCACCAUCUUGGGAGGCUGAAGCAGGAGGAUUGUGAGUUCAAACCAGCCUCAGCAAAAGCCAGGCCCUGAGCAACUCAGUGAGACCUUAUCUCCGAAUAAAAUACAGAAUAGGGCUGGGGAUGUGGCUCAGUGGUCGAGUGCCCUGGAUUCAAUCACCAGUACCCUCUACCCCCCCCCCCCCAAAAAAAAAUGAAACAAAGCAAAUGCCCAACAACAGAUGAAUAGAUAAAUAAAUACUAGCAUAUCCAUAUGAGAUAUCAGUUUUAAUGAAAAGAAAUGAGCUACAGAUACUCCACAAAAACGUGAAUGGUUCCCUACAUAAUUAUUAUGGUGAGUGCAAUAAAUCAGAUACAAAAAUUUUACAUAUUGUAUACUAUAAAAUGCAAACUAAUUUAUGUGACAGAAAGUAGAUCAGUCAUUGUCUGGGGGCAAAGGUGUACACGUGUGAAGGAUGAGAAAACUUUUGGGUUGACAGAAAUGUCCUGAACCUUAGCUGUGGUGGGCUUAUGGAUGUGUAUAUCUGUGAAAAUGUUUGGAAUAGUAUAUAUCCUUUGAACAAGUGUAAUUUAUUGUAUACAGCCCAAUGAAGAAGUUAUGUAAGGAAUCUCUAGCUAUUCAGGUGGUGAACACCUGUAAUCCCAGUGACUCAGGAGGCUGAGGCAGGAGGAUUGUGAGUUCAAGACUAGCCUCAGCAACUUGGCCAAAUCCUGUCUCAAAAUAAAAAAUAAAAAGGGUUGAGGAGGCAGCUCAGUGGUAAAGUUCUCCUGGGUUCAAUCCCCAGUACCUAAAUAAAUAAAUACAUGCAUUAAAAAAAUCUCUGGCUGGGCACAGUGGCACACGCCUGUAAUUUCAAACACUUAGGAGGCUGAGGCAGGAGAUUGCAAGUUUGAGGCCAGGCUCAGCAACUUUAAUGAAGCCCAAAGUAACUUAGCAAGACCCUUUCUCAAAAUAAAAAAAAAAUAGAAAGGGCUGGAGAUGUGGCUCAGAGAUAGUGUGCCCCUACUCCAGGUGAUAGCACAUAAAGACUAUAUAAGUAUUCUACUUCAUAUGUAUUCCUUAUAAGUGAAAUGACACAGUAUUUUCCUUCUGUGACUGGCUUAUGUCACUUGCCAUGUCUUCAUGGAUCUUCCUUUUAUUUACUUUUUCCCAGGGUUGAGAAUCACACUCGGGGCCUUGUGCCUGCUAAGAAAGUGCUUGGCCACUAAGCUAAUCCCCAACUCCUUCAAGGUUCAUCCUGCCCCACAUGGUGGCACAUGCCCCUGUAAUCCCAGUGGCUUGGGAGGCUGAGGUAAGAGGAUCGUGAGUUCAAAGCCAGCCUCAGCAAUUUAGGGAGACACUAAUCAACUUAGUGAAACCCUGUCUCUAAAUAAAAUACAAAAAUAGGGCUGGGGGUGUAGCUCAGUGCUUGAGAUAUACCCCACUGAGAUAUACCCCAGUCCUUUUUUUGAGACAGGGUCUCUCUAAGUUGCUGAGACUGGCCUCAAACUUGCAAUCCUCCUGCCUCAGCCUUCUGAGUAGCUGGGAUGACAGGCAUGUACCGUUGUAUCCAGUCCAUUCUAUUUUUGACCAGGAAUUUCUUUCCAAAUUUAUUAAAAUGUAUUUUUGGAAUAAAAAUAUACUGGUCACUUCUUCUCACCCGUUCUGAUUCUGCCCUCUAAAGCAAAUAAGGAUACUUCUCUCAUCCAUGUGGCAGGCAACACUCUGUAAAUCUAAGGACCCUGUAAGGUCUUCCUUUUCUAGGCUCCGAGUCACUCCUCAGACAGUGUGGUGCCCGGGCCGUUGCUCAUGUGUGAUUAUGGUCCAGUUGACCCAUGUUCUCAAAAUGAGAUGCCUAAAUCAGACGAUGACCCUCUGUAGGUACGGGAGGGGGAGGGGGAGGGGGGGGGGGUGGGGGUGGGAACCUGCUGCCUCCUUUGCUCUGGUUUUUUUUUUUUUUUUUUCCAGUAUUGGAGAUUGAACCCAGGGGCACUUAACCGCUGAGUCACAUCCCCAGUCCUUUUAAAAAUAUUUUAUUUGAGACAGGGCCUCACUGAGUUACUUAGGGCCUUGCUAAGUUGCUGAGGCUGGCUUUGAACCCUCCAUCCUCCUGCCUCAGCCUCCCCGGAGGCUGGGAUUGCAGGGGAGCGCCACGCGGCCGGUUGCUCUGCCCUUCACCUCCAUAAACAGCCUAACAGGCCACGGACCUUCUUGGCUUCAGUGCUGGUAAGUAUUAACUUGGAGUCAAUUCCAACAUCCAGGGGUUGUCUUUGCUUGUGUUUCAGGUUCUGCGGCACCACCAGCCAUGUGAGGAAGGGGUGGACAGAGGAGAGCGGGGGAGACUGAGGUCAGGAGGGCCUGCGGCUCACUGAGCGGCCUGUGGACUCGGGUCUAUGGCUCCUGAGGGCAGACGCAGGCCGUGCUCCUCCCUCUGGUCUCCUAUCAGUUGCUCACCAAAGGCCAACCCCAAUAAAUAACGGCUUCCAACAUCGGCACCUGGCCCCCCUGCGCCGCCAGCCCCCUCCCUGAUAGCUGUGGGCGCUGUGGUGAGGGAUUCGAAGAGGACACGUGCCCAGGGAAUGCGCUUCGGUCCAGCUCCCAGGCUCCAGACCUGAGCGUCAACUAGAGCCUCUCCCAAGAAGGUCAGGGAGGGGACCAAGCGCCAGGCUCCCGCUGACCGGCUCUAGGUAGCUGUCGGGAGAAGAUUCUUUAUAAAAGAGGCACUGCAUCUUGAUUUUCAGAAGUAAAAUACAAUAUAUUUAGUGGGCAAAGAGGAGGACUGCUUUCCCAGGCAAAUUUCCUUGAAACUUGGGAGUCACUGAAGAGAACACACUCUUGUUGAGUGAUUUGGGGACUUCCUUGCAGCCUGGUAUCUACUUACUCCACAAAGACAUUCCUUCCUUCAGAUCAGUACCCUCCCCACACACCCCUGCAAACACACACACACAGACACACACACACACUAUUAAUUUCUUUUUUGGGGGUGGAUAUUAGGGAUUGAACUCAGGGGCACUCAACCACUGAGCCACAUCCCCAGCCCUAUUUUGUAUUUUAUUUAGAGACAGGGUCUCACUGAGUCGCUUAGGGCCUCACUAAAUUGCCAAGGCUGGCUUUGAACUCACAAUCCCCUUGCCUCAGCCUCCUGAGCCUCUGGGAUCACGGAGUGUGCCUCCAACCAGGCUCCAUUAAUAUUUGAAACAUUCCUAGAAACAUCCAGUGUCUCUUCUAUUCUCUUUUCAGAAAUUGGGGCUGGGGGUUUAGCUUAGUGGUAGAGUGCUUGCUCAGCUUGCAGGAGACCCUGGGUUCCAUCCCCAGCAUGGCAAAGAACAAAAAGCAAAAAACACCCUCCCCCCCCAGGAAAUCCAUCCCUCCCCAGCCCCACCUUUCUUCCCUUCAUCUGUCAAUAGAUUGUGAUCCCCGGUCACCUUCUUCUUUGUCCAUUGUUAUUAUUAUUUUUCUCUUUCAAUGGGUUCUUUCCUCUUGGCCUUUCAAUAUAACCAGGAUCCUUCAAUGUGGAGGGUGCCCUGCACCCAUCCAUCCCUCUCUCUUUCUGCCCACAGCUGAGUGCCUUACAGGAUUAUUCCUCACUGAUUCCAUUUUUAGAUCCACCGUCUAGUCUAUUUUCAUUAACACGAAAAAUACACAAAACCAUAUUCUCCGAAGGUCAAUGAGGACUUUUGUUAGGCAAAUUCAAUGGCCUUUUGCAGUUGUGCUCUCAUAGGCUUAUCCUUACCCUGUUGGGACCCAGCAGGAGUGGGCGGGGCUGGGGUCAAUGUUGCUGGGGUCUUGGGAGAGGUGGGUGGCUGUGCUCUCCUCCCAGGUCUUCCUCACUGUCUGUCCCCUCCCCUCUCCCUCAUCCAGGUCUAGUUAUAGAGUGUGCUAUAGUUUUGUGGCUCAAAGUUCGGUCCUUGUCCCUGAUGCCAAUCCAAUAACGAGGACACAGUUUUGAGGAAAGGCAAAGAGACAGUUUAUUGCUUUGCAAGCAAAGGAGAAACACUGGGGACUCCUGUCCCAAAGGCUUCGAUUCUGCCCAUCAGCAGGAAGGGGGGGGGUGUUUAAAGAUAAGAUUCAGAGAAAGUGAGAUUAGGGAGGAGAGAUCAGGAAGGAGAAGAUCAGGGAGGAGAAGGUCAGGGAGAAGAAGGGUUAGGAAAAAGGAAAAAAUCAUGGAAGUUUCAAAGCCACAAGGGGUGUAGUCAAAGCAUCAAGUGAAGCCUUGUUACAGUCUGAGUGGAUCCUAAGUGUUCCUCGCUGAGUGCAGUGGUGCACAUGCAUAAAAUCCUAGCAACUCUGAGGAGGGAGGCUGAGGCAGGAGGGUUGCAAGUUGAAGGCCAGCCUCGGCAACUUAGAGAGACCAUGUCUCAAAAUAACAAAAUAAAGGGCUGGAGAUGUAGCUCAUUGGUAGAGCCUCCCUGGGUCCAAUCCCAGUACUGCCAAAUAAAUAAACAAACCUUAAGUAU